rnacentral:rRNA from 1 species
GGAUCCAGACUUUGAUCAUGGCUCAGGAUGAACGCUAGCGGCAGGCCUAAUACAUGCAAGUCGGACGGGAUUGGAGAGCUUGCUUUCCAUGAGAGUGGCGCACGGGUGCGUAACACGUAUGUAACCUACCUUCUUCAGGGGGAUAGCCUCUCGAAAGAGAGAUUAAGACCGCAUAACAUUGCAAUGUGGCAUCACAAAGCAAUCAAAUAUUUAUAGGAAGAAGAUGGGCAUGCGGAACAUUAGCUAGUUGGUAAGGUAAUGGCUUACCAAGGCUACGAUGUUUAGGGGAUCUGAGAGGAUGGCCCCCCACACUGGUACUGAGACACGGACCAGACUCCUACGGGAGGCAGCAGUAAGGAAUAUUGGUCAAUGGACGGAAGUCUGAACCAGCCAUGCCGCGUGCAGGAAGGCGGCCCUACGGGUUGUAAACUGCUUUUGCAGGGGAAUAAACCCCGAUACGUGUAUCGGGCUGAAUGUACUCUGAGAAUAAGGAUCGGCUAACUCCGUGCCAGCAGCCGCGGUAAUACGGAGGAUCCAAGCGUUAUCCGGAUUUAUUGGGUUUAAAGGGUGCGUAGGUGGCCUGUUAAGUCAGGGGUGAAAGACGGUAGCUUAACUAUCGCAGUGCCCUUGAUACUGAUGGGCUUGAAUACACUAGAGGUAGGCGGAAUGUGGCAAGUAGCGGUGAAAUGCAUAGAUAUGCCACAGAACACCAAUUGCGAAGGCAGCUUACUAUGGUGUUAUUGACACUGAGGCACGAAAGCGUGGGGAUCAAACAGGAUUAGAUACCCUGGUAGUCCACGCCCUAAACGAUGAAUACUCGAUGUUGGCGAUAUACGGUCAGCGUCUAAGCGAAAGCGUUAAGUAUUCCACCUGGGGAGUACGCCCGCAAGGGUGAAACUCAAAGGAAUUGACGGGGGCCCGCACAAGCGGAGGAGCAUGUGGUUUAAUUCGAUGAUACGCGAGGAACCUUACCCGGGCUUGAAAGUUAGUGAAUAAAGCAGAGACGCUUUAGUCCUUCGGGACACGAAACUAGGUGCUGCAUGGCUGUCGUCAGCUCGUGCCGUGAGGUGUUGGGUUAAGUCCCGCAACGAGCGCAACCC